AAAGUAACUCUAAAAGGAUGAAAAGAAAUUAGUAAAAGAAAUUACCUGUUGGAGCUGUGGUAGGAACUGGGAUCCAAUCUAAUUUUCCUUCAAAAUUAUAGUCUGGGGCUCAAGCUAAUUUAUGUGACUGAACAUUUAAAAAUAGAUGUCCUCUCUACCUGGAUGUAACAUCACUGAGAAAGAGUACGAUGCUUUCUCAUUUCUUUCCUGUAAGAUAUACACACAACAAAGGAGCCCAGCCUGUUUUUAGAGAACCUGCUUGCUUCCUGUUGUUGAAAGAAAGUCUUAUGUGAGGUCAUGAGAUGUCCUGACAGAGAUGUCCUCCUAUUCCCCAAAGAAAGAAAGAGCACCUUACCUCUGAAGACAAAGGAUGCUGAGAAGAAUCUUAAGAAACAGGGCUGGCUAAAUUCCCCUGUUUACUAUAUUAGCUUCAUACUCCUUAACCUGUCAUAUUUCUCCUUGGUUGUCCACUCCUCAUCAGACCUAUCAUAAAAAUCCUAAGGUCUAUUUCUUCAGGUCUUUAUUUCCUUAUGUAAUUUUUUGUAUCAGAAAAAACUUAUGUUAAAUAAAUGUAUAUGCUUUUCA